AUUGAACGCUGGCGGCAGGCCUAACACAUGCAAGUCGAGCGGAUGAAGAGAGCUUGCUCUCUGAUUUAGCGGCGGACGGGUGAGUAAUGCCUAGGAAUCUGCCUGGUAGUGGGGGAUAACGUUCCGAAAGGAACGCUAAUACCGCAUACGUCCUACGGGAGAAAGCAGGGGACCUUCGGGCCUUGCGCUAUCAGCUGAGCCUAGGUCGGAUUAGCUAGUUGGUGAGGUAAUGGCUCACCAAGGCGACGAUCCGUAACUGGUCUGAGAGGAUGAUCAGUCACACUGGAACUGAGACACGGUCCAGACUCCUACGGGAGGCAGCAGUGGGGAAUAUUGGACAAUGGGCGAAAGCCUGAUCCAGCCAUGCCGCGUGUGUGAAGAAGGUCUUCGGAUUGUAAAGCACUUUAAGUUGGGAGGAAGGGCAGUAAGUUAAUACCUUGCUGUUUUGACGUUACCGACAGAAUAAGCACCGGCUAACUUCGUGCCAGCAGCCGCAGUAAUAC
rnacentral:rRNA from 1 species